ACGAAGGGGGCUAGCGUUGUUCGGAAUUACUGGGCGUAAAGCGUGCGCAGGCGGUUAUGUAAGACAGUUGUGAAAUCCCCGGGCUCAACCUGGGAACUGCAUCUGUGACUGCAUAGCUAGAGUACGGUAGAGGGGGAUGGAAUUCCGCGUGUAGCAGUGAAAUGCGUAGAUAUGCGGAGGAACACCGAUGGCGAAGGCAAUCCCCUGGACCUGUACUGACGCUCAUGCACGAAAGCGUGGGGAGCAAACAGGA
rnacentral:rRNA from 1 species